GAGGAGUUAAUGAUUAAGAUGAGGGAACUUUAUGAUGGGGCUGCAGUGUUGAAGUACCAGCAACCAGAUGAGGAUCCUGAUGCUCUUGUGUCUGUUGUCAAUGAUGAUGAUGUGAUUAACAUGAUGGAAGAGUAUGAUAAGGUGGGUUCUGGUGACGGGUUCACUAGGCUGAGGAUAUUCUUGUUUUCACAUCCUGAACAAGAUGGUUCUUUGCCCUUUGUGGAUGGCGAUGAGAGGGAU
rnacentral:misc_RNA from 1 species